UGAGGAAUAUUGGUCAAUGGUCGGGAGACUGAACCAGCCAAGCCGCGUGAGGGAUGAAGGUGCUAAGCAUUGUAAACCUCUUUUGUCAGGGAACAAAGGCAUCCACGAGUGGAUGUGUGAGUGUACCUGAAGAAAAAGCAUCGGCUAACUCCGUGCCAGCAGCCGCGGUAAUACGGAGGAUGCGAGCGUUAUCCGGAUUUAUUGGGUUUAAAGGGUGCGUAGGCGGCCUGUUAAGUCAGCGGUAAAAGCCCGGGGCUCAACCCGGCGAGCGUUGAAACUGGCUGGCUGGAGUUGGCGAGAGGUAUGCGGAAUGCGCGGUGUAGCGGUGAAAUGCUUAGAUAUCGCGCAGAACUCCGAUUGCGAAGGCAGCAUGCCGGCGCCACACUGACGCUGAGGCACGAAAGCGCGGGUAUCGAACAGGAUUAGAUACC
rnacentral:rRNA from 1 species